AGUGAACGCUGGCGGUAGGCCUAACACAUGCAAGUCGAACGGCAGCACAGUAAGAGCUUGCUCUUACGGGUGGCGAGUGGCGGACGGGUGAGGAAUACAUCGGAAUCUACUUUUUCGUGGGGGAUAACGUAGGGAAACUUACGCUAAUACCGCAUACGACCUACGGGUGAAAGCAGGGGAUCUUCGGACCUUGCGCGAUUGAAUGAGCCGAUGUCGGAUUAGCUAGUUGGCGGGGUAAAGGCCCACCAAGGCGACGAUCCGUAGCUGGUCUGAGAGGAUGAUCAGCCAACAUGGAAUGGAGACCCGGCCCGGCCCCCGCGGGGAGGAAGAGGGGGGAAAUUUUGGCAAAGGGGGGCAAGCUUGACCAACCCAACCCGGGGGGGGAAAAAAGCCCUUGGGGUUUUAAAGCCCUUUUGUUGGGAAAAAAAAGCAGCAGGUUAAAACCCCGCUUUUUGGCGGGUCCCCAAAAAAAAAGCCCCGGUCAACUUCGG
rnacentral:rRNA from 1 species